rnacentral:rRNA from 1 species
GCACAGGUAGCAAUACCGGGUGGCGACCGGCGCACGGGUGAGUAACGCGUAUGCAACUUACCUAUCAGAGGGGGAUAACCCGGCGAAAGUCGGACUAAUACCGCAUGAAGCAGGGGUCCCGCAUGGGGAUAUUUGCUAAAGAUUCAUCGCUGAUAGAUAGGCAUGCGUUCCAUUAGGCAGUUGGCGGGGUAACGGCCCACCAAACCGACGAUGGAUAGGGGUUCUGAGAGGAAGGUCCCCCACAUUGGUACUGAGACACGGACCAAACUCCUACGGGAGGCAGCAGUGAGGAAUAUUGGUCAAUGGGCGCGAGCCUGAACCAGCCAAGUCGCGUGAGGGAUGAAGGUUCUAUGGAUCGUAAACCUCUUUUAUAAGGGAGUAAAGUGCGGGACGUGUCCUGUUUUGUAUGUACCUUAUGAAUAAGGAUCGGCUAACUCCGUGCCAGCAGCCGCGGUAAUACGGAGGAUCCGAGCGUUAUCCGGAUUUAUUGGGUUUAAAGGGUGCGUAGGCGGCCUUUUAAGUCAGCGGUGAAAGUCUGUGGCUCAACCAUAGAAUUGCCGUUGAAACUGGGGGGCUUGAGUAUGUUUGAGGCAGGCGGAAUGCGUGGUGUAGCGGUGAAAUGCUUAGAUAUCACGCAGAACCCCGAUUGCGAAGGCAGCCUGCCAAGCCAUGACUGACGCUGAUGCACGAAAGCGUGGGGAUCAAACA